rnacentral:rRNA from 1 species
CCUACGGGUGGCAGCAGUGGGGAAUAUUUGGCAAUGGAGGCAACUCUUACCCAGCAAUGCCGCGUGAAUGAAGAAGGUCUUCGGAUUGUAAAGUUCUUUAAUUGGGGACGAAAAAAUGACGGUACCCAAGGAAUAAGCCCCGGCUAAAUACGGGCCCGCAGCCGCGGGAAUACGUCGGGGGCAAGCGUUGUUCGGAAGGACUGGGGGUAAAGGGGGUGUGGGCGGUGAAGCAAGUAAGAAGUGAAAUACCUAGGGCUUAACACAGGUGCUGCUUCUAAAACUGGUAUACUUGAGUGCAGUAGAGGAAAGUGGAAUUCCUAGUGUAGCGGUGGAAUGCGUAGAUAUUAGGAGGAACAUCAGUGGCGAAGGCGACUUGCUGGACUGUAACUGACGCUGAGGCACGAAAGUGUGGGGAGCAAACAGGAUUAGAUACCCUUGUAGUC